GCAGCGAACGUAUCACUUAAAGCGAUUCAGCGGGUUACGAUUGACGGAGCGAAGCGACGUCAAAGCGUAUACAAAGUCGAGUCGGUUUAAGGAUACGUUCGUUGGGUAGGGGAGCGUUCUGUAAGCCCGUGAAGGUGGCCUGUGAGGGUUGCUGGAGGUAUCAGAAGUGCGAAUGCUGACAUAAGUAACGAUAAAGCGGGUGAAAAGCCCGCUCGCCGGAAGACCAAGGGUUCCUGUCCAACGUUAAUCGGGGCAGGGUGAGUCGACCCCUAAGGC
rnacentral:rRNA from 1 species